GUAGAUGACGCUGGCGGCGUGCUUAACACAUGCAAGUCGAACGAUGAUCCCUAGCUUGCUGGGGGGAUUAGUGGCGAACGGGUGAGUAACACGUGAGUAACCUGCCCUUAACUCUGGGAUAAGCCUGGGAAACUGGGUCUAAUACUGGAUAUUGACUUUUCACCGCAUGGUGGUUGGUUGAAAGAUUUAUUGGUUUUGGAUGGACUCGCGGCCUAUCAGCUUGUUGGUGAGGUAAUGGCUCACCAAGGCGACGACGGGUAGCCGGCCUGAGAGGGUGACCGGCCACACUGGGACUGAGACACGGCCCAGACUCCUACGGGAGGCAGCAGUGGGGAAUAUUGCACAAUGGGCGAAAGCCUGAUGCAGCGACGCCGCGUGAGGGAUGACGGCCUUCGGGUUGUAAACCUCUUUCAGUAGGGAACAAGGCCAGUGUUUAGUUGGUUGAGGGUACCUGCAGAAGAAGCGCCGGCUAACUACGUGCCAGCAGCCGCGGUAAUACGUAGGGCGCAAGCGUUAUCCGGAAUUAUUGGGCGUAAAGAGCUCGUAGGCGGUUUGUCGCGUCUGCCGUGAAAGUCCGGGGCUCAACUCCGGAUCUGCGGUGGGUACGGGCAGACUAGAGUGAUGUAGGGGAGACUGGAAUUCCUGGUGUAGCGGUGAAAUGCGCAGAUAUCAGGAGGAACACCGAUGGCGAAGGCAGGUCUCUGGGCAUUAACUGACGCUGAGGAGCGAAAGCAUGGGGAGCGAACAGGAUUAGAUACCCUGGUAGUCCAUGCCGUAAACGUUGGGCACUAGGUGUGGGGGACAUUCCACGUUUUCCGCGCCGUAGCUAACGCAUUAAGUGCCCCGCCUGGA
rnacentral:rRNA from 1 species